UGCUGAUAGAAAUAUGUGGGGCGGGACAAUGGAAAGGCAAGACACAGCAGAAUGCGUACAGAGAAAGGCGUGGGGCGGAGGGGGGCGUUUGGAGGGAGAGAGAAUAUGAUCUGAGCACCCUCUCUUUCUCUACAUCCUGGCCACGCUGGUGUGUGAACGUGAAGAGCCGCAGGGCUCGGAGCUUUUCUCAUCGAGGUGCUGCUGCUGCAUGGGGGAGCUGGUACAGCAUGCAGAUAUUGUUUGGGACUAAUUUGAAGAAAAAUUCAAGACGAAGAACAAGAUGAAAUCUCUGUCUCUCAAUCAAUUCCGGCAUCAGAUGGAGGUGCUGGAACUUUGCAACACAACCUGCUUGUCAGAGGAGAGGAGCUGCUUGUAACAUGCUGGGAGCGGUGGGGAAGAGCGAUGACGUUCCGCUGUCUCCGCACCAGAUGGAGUGGAGAGCAGGUGUGAAACAGACAGGAACCAUGGAGAUGUGUUCGCGGUGGCUUUAAUCAGGGGCCUGCGCUUCCUGUCAGCAGAACAAUGACAGAGGUGGAAACAAUAGGCGUGCGCCAAACUGUCCUCUGAAUCAGAAGAAAAAAAAUCUCCUAACCUGUCAGACUCUUGGCCCCUUUCAGAAAACCUCUUUUCAUAUGACUGACAUACCAAAAAUAAACUUCAUUAUACAACAUCUUGACCAUAACCUGACCCAAAAUAUUAGAGGCAUCUUAUUGGACUCCAAAUUACUCAUACAGUACAGGCCAAAAGUUUGGACACACCUUCUCAUUCAAUGUGUUUUCUUUAUUUUCAUGACCAUUUACGUUGGUAGAUUCUCACUGAAGGCAUCAAAACUAUGAAUGAACACAUGUGGAGUUAUGUACUUAACAAAAAAAGGUGAAAUAACUGAAAACAUGUUUUAUAUUCUAGUUUCUUUGCUCAGAUUACUGCUUUGCGCACUCUUGGCAUUCUCCCGAUGAGCUUCAAGAGGUCGUCACCUGAAAUGGUUCUCCAACAGUCUUGAAGGAGUUCCCAGAGGUGUUUAGCACUUGUUGGCCCCUUUGUCUUCACUCUGCCGUCCAGCUCACCACAAACCAUCUUGAUUGGGUUCAGGUCCGGUGACUGUGGAGGCCAGGUCUCUACUUUUUGUUAAGUACAUAACUCCACAUGUGUUCAAUCAUAGUUUUGAUGCCUUCAGUGAGAAUCUACCAAGUUAAAUGGUCAUAAAAAUAAAUGAAUGAGAAGGUCUGUCCA
rnacentral:lncRNA from 1 species